UACGUAGGUGGCAAGCGUUGUCCGGAUUUAUUGGGCUUAAAGGGUGCGUAGGCGGCUUUGUAAGUCAGUGGUGAAAUCUGGCAGCUCAACUGUCAGGGUGCCAUUGAUACUGCGGAGCUUGAGUACAGAUGAGGUAGGCGGAAUUGACGGUGUAGCGGUGAAAUGCUUAGAUAUCGGCAAGAACACCGAUAGCGAAGGCAGCUGACUGGGCUGUAACUGACGCUGAGGCACGAAAGUGUGGGGAUCAAACAGG
rnacentral:rRNA from 1 species